UGGGGAAUAUUGGACAAUGGGGGCAACCCUGAUCCAGCGAUGCCGCGUGUGCGAAGAAGGCCUGCGGGUUGUAAAGCACUUUAGUUGGGGAAGAAAGUUGUAUGUUUAAUAGACAUAUGAAUUGACGUUACCCAAAGAAUAAGCACCGGCUAACUCUGUGCCAGCAGCCGCGGUAAUACAGAGGGUGCAAGCGUUAAUCGGAAUUACUGGGCGUAAAGGGCGCGUAGGCGGUUAUGUAAGUUAGAUGUGAAAUCCCCGGGCUUAACCUGGGAACUGCAUUUAAUACUGCAUGGCUAGAGUAGAGUAGAGGGAAGUGGAAUUUCCGGUGUAGCGGUGAAAUGCGUAGAUAUCGGAAAGAACAUCAGUGGCGAAGGCGGCUUCCUGGACUCAUACUGACGCUGAGGCGCGAAAGCGUGGGGAGCAAACAGG
rnacentral:rRNA from 1 species